UUAUUAUUGAUAGAUUAGCUGUCCUGUUAGAUCUUCAUGAUUUUCCAGUAUUUGAGGUCUACUGAUAGGGGAUGUCAAGGUGGUUGUUUGAAGAAGCCUAAUCGGACUGCCAGUUUUCGAAACGUCAGGACCCCAUUUUCUACACUUUUAAUGCAUUAUAAUCAUACGCCCGGUUCGUUUGGUUUCGGACUAGAGGGGCUGCGUGAUUCUAUAUUUGCUAGUUCAGGGGGUGGUAUUUUCAAGAUUGGACGGGCCGUACACAGAAUUACUCAGCCAGCGUUGGUAUCAAGGUCUGCUGGUCGAUUUUUUUAUCCUAGUCCUUCUAAAGGUCUGGCCUCUCACUUUAGCACAAAGCGAUUACAUUUAUCGCUAAUCAGACCUAAAAACUCGACUCGUUAUCGAAAUGCGAUUCUAGCGUUUGGCUUUAUCAUUACAAUUGCGAUCACCUCGAGCGUUUUAACUUCUCAGCAGCUCAAAAGUUCUCCUUACUACAGCGUAUCUCUAAGUGCAGUUUGUGAUCAUCAAGUUGUUCGAGAAAUGCUUGGCUUUCCGAUUUUUGAGCCGUAUUUUGUGUUUUUAGAUAAGGGCAGCAGCACGUUCGAGUUGUCGUACACUGUCAAAGGAAGCAAUGGAAGGUCAGCGUUGGUCAGGGCUGUAGCCGACCUCGACCCUAGUCGAAGAUACGUUUCCGAGAAGUCUUUUCGGUACAUUCAGAUAUACCCUGAUAGAAACCAGAUUCGGCAUACAUUGGACAAGAUAAGUAAAGGAAUCAACUUUCUGACAUCUAAGGAGCAAGAACCUCACUCUGAGCCUGCUAUUUACAUCUUGAGUAAUGAAAAAAUUUGAUUUCACAGUAUCGAGAGAACGAUUGGCCGAAAUCUGAGGAGGACUGCUGUAAAUUUUCGAAGGGCUCCGAGUCUAUAAUCUUUCUCGAAAACUGCUUAAAAGUAUAGGAUGAAAAAGCGCCGAGUAUAGUACACAAAAUAUUCGAGGCGCGAAGAUGCUGAAUUGUCUCGAUACGCAUACGACAGACAAAAGAAACGUUUGUAAUCAAUUCUUGUCUUCUCACCAACUUAUUUUUAUGUGAAUGUUCUGCCUUUGGCAGCGCGCUAACAAGCCUUUUAGACUAUACCAGUUUCAAGAAAAACUAUAUCUCGUACCAGAAAUGAAAUAUUUCUCAAGGCCGCAUGAUUGUGCUUGACAACUGCAUCUCACAGAGUGCAACGUGUCACGUGUACAUGACGCCAAACUGAGGCACCAUCUUUAUGUGUAAAAUAUACAUUUUUCUAAUGCUUUUUGCGUGGCAUAUCUAGAUCGC